rnacentral:rRNA from 1 species
CCUACGGGGGGCAGCAGUGAGGAAUAUUGGUCAAUGGACGAGAGUCUGAACCAGCCAAGUAGCGUGAAGGAUGACUGCCCUAUGGUUUGUAAACUUCUUUUAUAUGGGAAUAAAACGUUCCACGUGUGGGAUUUUGUAUGUACCAUAUGAAUAAGGAUCGGCUAACUCCGUGCCAGCAGCCGCGGUAAUACGGAGGAUCCGAGCGUUAUCCGGAUUUAUUGGGUUUAAAGGGAGCGUAGGUGGAUUGUUAAGUCAGUUGUGAAAGUUUGCGGCUCAACCGUAAAAUUGCAGUUGAAACUGGCAGUCUUGAGUACAGUAGAGGUGGGCGGAAUUCGUGGUGUAGCGGUGAAAUGCUUAGAUAUCACGAAGAACUCCGAUUGCGAAGGCAGUUCACUGGACUGCAACUGACACUGAGGCUCGAAAGUGUGGGUAUCAAACAGGAUUAGAUACCCCGGUAGUC